CCUACGGGAGGCAGCAGUGGGGAAUAUUGCACAAUGGGCGCAAGCCUGAUGCAGCGACGCCGCGUGCGGGAUGACGGCCUUCGGGUUGUAAACCGCUUUUGACUGGGAGCAAGCCCUUCGGGGUGAGUGUACCUUUCGAAUAAGCACCGGCUAACUACGUGCCAGCAGCCGCGGUAAUACGUAGGGUGCAAGCGUUAUCCGGAAUUAUUGGGCGUAAAGGGCUCGUAGGCGGUUCGUCGCGUCCGGUGUGAAAGUCCAUCGCUUAACGGUGGAUCCGCGCCGGGUACGGGCGGGCUUGAGUGCGGUAGGGGAGACUGGAAUUCCCGGUGUAACGGUGGAAUGUGUAGAUAUCGGGAAGAACACCAAUGGCGAAGGCAGGUCUCUGGGCCGUCACUGACGCUGAGGAGCGAAAGCGUGGGGAGCGAACAGGAUUAGAUACCCUGGUAGUCCACGCCGUAAACGGUGGAUGCUGGAUGUGGGGACCAUUCCACGGUCUCCGUGUCGGAGCCAACGCGUUAAGCAUCCCGCCUGGGGAGUACGGCCGCAAGGCUAAAACUCAAAGAAAUUGACGGGGGCCCGCACAAGCGGCGGAGCAUGCGGAUUAAUUCGAUGCAACGCGAAGAACCUUACCUGGGCUUGACAUGUUCCCGACAGCCGUAGAGAUACGGUCUCCCUUCGGGGCGGGUUCACAGGUGGUGCAUGGUCGUCGUCAGCUCGUGUCGUGAGAUGUUGGGUUAAGUCCCGCAACGAGCGCAACCCU
rnacentral:rRNA from 1 species